UUUCAUCUGUCAUCCAUUUAUUCUUUGUGCUUUUUACUUUUUUAGGAAUCACUGACUUUGAUGAUUCUAUCAAGGCAUCCUUUAGAGAAUUUAAUUUCAUUUCUACAUUAUUGCUAUCAUCUUCAAUAGAUUCUAUUUCUAGACUUUGAAAUUUAUUCCUUACUUCUAUUGUAAAUUUCUGUCUUAAGUUUUCUUCUUUAAUUAAUUGCAAGUAGUCAAGGAAUUGUUCAUGUUUUUGCUUCUUUAGUUUUUUUUUAGUUUUACUUUUUCAUCACAUACUACUGGGUUAUGGUCACUAUUACAGUCUGCACCUGGAUAUGUUUUGCUUUGAGUCACUGAGUUUCCAAAUCUUUGGUUUAUAGUAAUAAAGUCAAUUUGAUUUCUAUUGUUACCACCUGGACUUUUUCAGGUCCACAAGUAGCUUGAUGAUGGCCGGGGAUCCCCUGCUGACCAGAAUCAACCCUACCGAGCGAAGCAUCUUCAGAAUUGUCUUGAAGAUCCUCUUGACGCUGUUGUUGUGCGAUACAUUUUAUGCUGUCUGAUCAGCUGAGGUUUUCGACAUUCUUUUGUUUCUAAUUUCAGGCUUUCAGCAUUUGCAGUGUGUUGACCUUGGGCAAGAAUAUGUAAAGAUUGAGAAACUAUACGCAGAAAUUAAUUUUGUAAUAGAGGCAUGCACUGAAAGGACACUGUGAUAAAAAACAAACUUUUUUGCUGUGACCACAAAGUGACUUUACCAGGUUACCACAACGUCUGAGCCACCUGAUGCCAAAUAACCAGCUCUGGGAGAUU